rnacentral:RNase_P_RNA from 1 species
CCUGCGCACUGCUCCGCCGUUCUUUCCGCCGCAUGGCGGGGAGGGAGGAAAGUCCGGGCAGCAAAGGGCACCGUGCUUCCUAACGGGAAGGGGCGCCGCUGGUGACGGUGGCGUUACGGAAAGUGCCACAGAAAGGGAAACCGCCGAUCGUUGAAGUUGAAGUGAAGGCCCGCCUUCGCCAAGGCUUCGGCGAGGCAAGGAUGAAAAGGUGGGGUAAGAGCCCACCAGUGCCCCGUGUGAGCGGGGCAGCUUGGUAAACCCCACGGGCUGAAAGACCAAAUAAGCUGGAACGCCUGCCGCAAGGCAGGCUAAGCGCGGCCCGCGUGAUCCAGCGGGUAGGUCGAUAGAGGCCGUGCGCGAGCACGGUCCCAGAUAGAUGGCGGAGGUCCGCCGCAAGGUGGAUACAGGAUCCGGCUUAUAGGUGCGCAGGCUUU